rnacentral:tRNA from 1 species
UCUAACGUGGCAGAUAAGUGCGGUGGAUUUAAGCUCCAUAAAUAAAGUUUAAGCUUUCAUUAGAA